GAUACUUAUUAUUAUUCUCUCUAUUUUCUUAACAAAAUAAAUUAUAUUAGGGAUUGGAACAGUAAGGAAACUUUUAAAAAAAGUUCAGCAACAAAGGUAGAGGAGACAAAAAUAUAAAACUACUAAAACGACCAAAAUGUAACUGCAGAAGGUAAUUUCAAGGACAUUAAGCUAUGUACUUGAUUGGAAAAAAAUGUUGCAACAGAAAAUCAAAUA
rnacentral:misc_RNA from 1 species